rnacentral:lncRNA from 1 species
UUGGUUUUGGUAUUAGGGCAAUACUGAACUCAUAGAAUGAAUUGGGAAGUACUUCCCCUGUGUCUAUCUUCUGGAAGAGACUGUAAAAGGGAACAUUUGCAAAUCUGGGCAUGGACUGUGGACCAGGCUUGCCUAAGUAGGAAGAGUCUGCUGGGCUAAAGAUAAACCAGUGGAGCUUUUGAUUGCUGCUUUGGCUAGUGUGACAGUUUGGAACCUGGAAAGGCCUAAAUAUAGGGCUGCCAAUUUUCUCCCACUGGACUUUAGCUGAAUGCUGAGGCAUUUAAGGAUUGGAUAGAAACAUGCAAUGAAGUUCCGUACAGUUGAACAGUGCUUAAAAGUCAUAGUCCUGGCAGAUGGAAAGAUGUUUAAUAACAUCAGACAAGUUGUGCCCUUAAGAUCUUUGAAACCAGAGUGAAAAUGAGGUAAAUGCAAGCUGUAACCCAUCCCUGAGAUGCUUAUUUCUUGAU